rnacentral:rRNA from 1 species
AUUGAACGCUGGCGGCAUGCUUUACACAUGCAAGUCGAACGGUAGACCCUUUCGGGGGUUGAGAGUGGCGAACGGGUGAGUAAUGCAUCGGAACAUACCCAGUCGUGGGGGAUAACGUAGCGAAAGUUACGCUAAUACCGCAUACGUCCUGAGGGAGAAAGCGGGGGAUCUUCGGACCUCGCGCGAUUGGAGUGGCCGAUGUCAGAUUAGCUAGUUGGUGGGGUAAAGGCCCACCAAGGCGACGAUCUGUAGCGGGUCUGAGAGGAUGAUCCGCCACACUGGGACUGAGACACGGCCCAGACUCCUACGGGAGGCAGCAGUGGGGAAUUUUGGACAAUGGGCGCAAGCCUGAUCCAGCCAUGCCGCGUGCGGGAAGAAGGCCUUCGGGUUGUAAACCCCUUUCGGCAGGGAAGAUGGAACGGGUAACCGUU